rnacentral:rRNA from 1 species
GCAGCCGCCGCGGGAAUACGUAGGGUGCGAGCGUUAAUCGGAAUUACUGGGCGUAAAGCGUGCGCAGGCGGUUGUGUAAGACAGGUGUGAAAUCCCCGGGCUUAACCUGGGAACUGCAUCUUAUGCUGCGUAGCUGGAGUGCAGUAGAGGGUAGUGGAAUUUCCGGUGUAGCGGUGAAAUGCGUAGAUAUCGGAAGGAACACCAGUGGCGAAGGCGGCUACCUGGACUGACACUGACACUGAGGCGCGAAAGCGUGGGGAGCAAACAGGAUUAGAUACCCCAGUAGUCCCUGUCUCUUAUAC